ensembl:lncRNA
ACAAAAUUGGCAUGGCGGAGUUUCCCACUACCCGUGAAUGCCUCUUAUUUUAUGUCUCUGGCUGACUCCUGAAUCUCCUCCCACUCUCUGCUUGAUCCCUGCCGAGUGAACGAGAUCUUUGGUUUUGCCUUUGCUGACUGCUGAUCUGAUCGUCUCAAGUCUGGUGACCUGCUGCAGAAAACCCUCUCCCUCUAUCAUUAACAAGCAAUUCAGUCUGUCCUAUCACUCUCCCUCUCCCUGCUCCAUCUUUUUGACAAGCCAUUCUAUCUUCUAUCAUUUCUCCGCCAUGAGCUCUAUCUAAGUUGACAAGCUUGAACCUGAGUUGAAACGCAAUCCUGUGACUUGAAAUCAAGUUUUACCAGAAUCUAAGUUUUGGAAUUGAAGUUACCAGAACUUCGUCAAUCUGUUUUCAGAAUUCUGAGAGAUCUCCGCUCUCACUGCUCCAUCUUUCCUGUCGUUAAACUCUCUCACAUCCAGUCAUUUUGCUGGAAAUUACAAGUAAAAAGUUGAAUAUACAGUAAUAGAAUUACAGUACAGUAGAACUCACUGUAGAAACUACUUACAGAGCCCUACAUUUGUCAUUUUAAUUUUUUACAUUACACUUUGGAAUUAACACUGAUAGUUUGGCUUACGGGUGCUAUUACUUUGAUAAAUUAUAUAAAAUACACACCUUUUUCAAGGUUUAUUUGUAAUAAGAUAAUCUGGUUAUUUUGUAAUACAUACAUUCAGACUUAUAUUCACAUAAAUAAUAAAUUGG